rnacentral:rRNA from 1 species
CCCCGCUCGUCGGGGCGCCCGCCGGAGGAUAACCAUACUCUGAUUUAACGACGUCUCUUCUGAGUGGUACAAGCAAAUAAUCAAAACUUUUAACAACGGAUCUCUUGGUUCUGGCAUCGAUGAAGAACGCAGCGAAAUGCGAUAAGUAAUGUGAAUUGCAGAAUUCAGUGAAUCAUCGAAUCUUUGAACGCACAUUGCGCCCGCCAGCAUUCUGGCGGGCAUGCCUGUUCGAGCGUCAUUUCAACCCUCAAGCUCUGCUUGGCGUUGGGGCCCUACGGCUGACGUAGGCCCUCAAAGGUAGUGGCGGACCCUCUCGGAGCCUCCUUUGCGUAGUAACUUACUGUCUCGCACUGGGAUCCGGAGGGGCUUCUGGCCGUAAAACCCCCAAACUUUCCAAAGGUUGACCUCGGAUCAGGUAGGAAUACCCGCUGAACUUAAGC